rnacentral:rRNA from 1 species
AUGCAUGUCUAAGUUCACACCCUCGUACGGUGAAACCGCGAAUGGCUCAUUAAAUCAGUCGAGGUUCCUUAGAUGAUCCAAAUCUACUUGGAUAACUGUGGUAAUUCUAGAGCUAAUACAUGCCAACCAGCUCCGACCCUCACGGGAAAGAGCGCUUUUAUUAGUUCAAAACCAGUCGGGUUUCGGCCCGUCCUUUGGUGACUCUGGAUAACUUUUUGCCGAUCGCAUGGCCUCGAGCCGGCGACGCAUCUUUCAAAUGUCUGCCCUAUCAAAUGACGAUGGUACGUGAUCUGCCUACCAUGUUUGCAACGGGUAGCGGGGAAUCAGGGUUCGAUUCCGGAGAGGGAGCAUGAGAAACGGCUACCACA